GAUGAACGCUGGCGGUAUGCCUAACACAUGCAAGUCGUACGAGAGUUUUUAACUCUAGUGGCGGACGGGUGAGUAACACGUGAGAAUUUGCCUUUAGGAGGGGGAUAACAAUUGGAAACGAAUGCUAAUACCCCAUAUGCUUUUGAGUGAAAUGGAUUUUAUCCGCCUAGAGAGAAGCUCGCGGCUGAUUAGCUUGUUGGUAAGGUAAGAGCUUACCAAGGCGACGAUCAGUAUCUGGUUUGAGAGGACGAUCAGCCACACUGGGACUGAGACACGGCCCAGACUCCUACGGGAGGCAGCAGUGGGGAAUAUUGGACAAUGGGCGAAAGCCUGAUCCAGCAAUGCCGCGUGAGUGAUGAAGGCCUUAGGGUUGUAAAGCUCUUUUACCAGGGAUGAUAAUGACAGUACCUGGAGAAUAAGCUCCGGCUAACUCCGUG
rnacentral:rRNA from 1 species